CUACGGGCGGCAGCAGUGGGGAAUAUUGCACAAUGGGCGAAAGCCUGAUGCAGCAACGCCGCGUGCGGGAUGAAGGCCCUAGGGUUGUAAACCGCUUUCAGCAGGGAAGAAAAUGACGGUACCUGUAGAAGAAGGUGCGGCCAACUACGUGCCAGCAGCCGCGGUGACACGUAGGCACCAAGCGUUGUCCGGAUUUAUUGGGCGUAAAGAGCUCGUAGGCGGUUCAGUAAGUCGGGUGGGAAAACUCUGGGCUCAACCCAGAGACGCCACCCGAUACUGCUGUGACUAGAGUGCGGUAGGGGAGCGGGGAAUUCCUAGUGUAGCGGUGAAAUGCGCAGAUAUUAGGAGGAACACCAGUGGCGAAGGCGCCGCUCUGGGCCGUAACUGACGCUGAGGAGCGAAAGCGUGGGUAGCAAACAGGAUUAGAUACCCCCGUAGUC
rnacentral:rRNA from 1 species